CGAAGUCUGAAGGAGCCCGCCGCGUGAGUGAAGAAGGCCUUCGGAUUGUAAAGCUCUUUUGUUAGGGAAGAACAAGUGCGAGAUAAUAUGCUCGCACCUUGACGGUACCUAACCAAAAAGCCCCGGCUAACUACGUGCCAGCAGCCGCGGUAAUACGUAGGGGGCAAGCGUUGUCCGGAAUUAUUGGGCGUAAAGGGCUCGCAGGCGGUUUCUUAAGUCUGAUGUGAAAGCCCCCGGCUCAACCGGGGAGGGUCAUUGGAAACUGGGAAACUUGAGUGCGGAAGAGGAGAGUGGAAUUCCACGUGUAGCGGUGAAAUGCGUAGAGAUGUGGAGGAACACCAGUGGCGAAGGCGACUCCCUGGUCUGUAACUGACGCUGAGGAGCGAAAGCGUGGGGAGCGAACAGGAUUAGAUACCCUGGUAGUCCACGCCGUAAACGAUGAGUGCUAGGUGUUAGGGGGUUUCCGCCCCUUAAUGCUGCAGCUAACGCAUUAAUCACUCCCCCUGGGGAGUACGGCCCCAAGACUGAAACUCAAAGGAAUUGACGGGGGCCCGCACAAGCGGUGGAGCAUGUGGUUUAAUUCGAAGCAACGCGAAGAACCUUACCAGGUCUUGACAUCCUGUGACAAUCCUAGAGAUAGGGCUUUCCCUUCGGGGACUGAGAGACAGGUGGUGCAUGGUUGUCGUCAGCUCGUGUCGUGAGAUGUUGGGUUAAGUCCCGCAACGAGCGCAACCCUUGAUCUUAGUUGCCAGCAUUUAGUUGGGCACUUUAAGGGGGCCUCCGGUGGCAAACCGGAGGAAGGUGGGGAUGGCGUCCAAUUCUCCUUCCCCUUUUGACCUAGGGUUCACCCCUUCUUCAAAUGACAGAACAAAAGGGUGCAAGACCGCAAAGAUUAACCAAUUCCAUAAAUCUGUUUUCAAUUCGGAUACGGAUACCUUGUUACGACUUCACAACAUUGAAGUAUCACUACGUCCGAGCGACCUCCCGAGGGUUAUUCGUUCCCGGUCUUUUUCAACCCCCCCCCACCCACCCCAAGCAGUGCUACAAAACCAGGUAGCUAGCUAACCGUCCGAGCCCGCCACGAUCGUGAUU
rnacentral:rRNA from 1 species